UGAGCUGAGGUUUGGUGACCCUACUGGUUGCACCUGCUGGUUCCUGUUUCAAUAUUUUUGUUCUCCUUUAGCAUAAAGUAAGAUGCAUGUUUUAAUCUAUUUCAUUUCAUCAUGUUUACAAGCCAGUGUUGAUGUUUUUUUGGUUUUGUAGCACCACCUGAAGUUUCAUUGAUCCAGUUCUCAGAGUCAAAUGAGGAAGGAGGUGCAGUAUGACAAACAGUGCACACAUUAAAAUAGUGCAAACGAUGUAAAUGCAUCAUUACAGAAGGUUUUCUCUCCCCAGGCGUUGUGACCAUGAUGGCCCAGGCCUCUGGCUUUCAUCCGGACAUCACCACCUUCCGCUGGUUCUGUGAGGGCAGCGAGCUGAGCCCCGUGUCUGUCCCGCAGGUGCUGGCGGCCCCUCGGCCAGAUGCUGCAGGCUUCUUCUCUUCUUCUGCAGGCCCCCGCCGCAGAGCUGGAGCGAGGGGAGACCCAGUAAUUGGCGUGGGGAGACGGUAUAUAAGACAGUCGGAAACCGGCGAGGAGGAGAGAGAGCUGAGGACUCGUGGGGACCAGGAAGCCGGAAGCCAGAGAUAUUCCGAUGAGUAUUGUGAGACAGUGACUAAGUGUGUGCGCAUGUGGCGCGAUUGUUUUUUGUUUGGUAAAUAAAAAUACCCACGAGCCUCAGACAGCUGACCCGGUCUCCUUCCUUCUUACCCGACGAACAAGGGAAAUACUACACUGGUGCCGAAACCCGGGAGGAAGGAGGGACGCACUGCCGAAGAUCCCUCAUCGCUGGGGUGAAUCUGCGGUGCCAUCGAGCAUGGUGGAGCAGUCUGCCGCCGUGGACGCUCGAGGCGGUGGGCUGGAGUGAGUUGCCGGGGGGACGGACGAGCUUGCUGCCGGAUGCCUGAGAUGUGGAGGGACGGCUGCCUUCCGGAAGGGAGCAGAGGAGUCGCCGCCGUUCGCCUGGGGCCACCACCAAAUCAUCGGCAUAUUUAAUAAUGUGCCUGCCUGGAUAUUGACUUCUGCACCUUUCAGAGUAUAGAAUAAAUAACAGAGGUGAAAGAAUACA
ensembl:lncRNA